rnacentral:rRNA from 1 species
AAUCAACGCUGGCGGCGUGCCUAACACAUGCAAGUCGAACGAGAAGGUGACUUCGGUCACUGGAUAGUGGCGUCCGGGUGAGUAACACGUAGGUAAUCUACCUUCGGGUGGGGAAUAACGUCUCGAAAGAGACGCUAAUACCGCAUAAUGCAGCGGCACCUAAUGGUGAUUAGUUGUUAAAGCGGGGGAGUCUUCGGACCUCGCGCCUGAAGAGGAGCCUGCGGCAGAUUAGCUAGUUGGUGAGGUAAUGGCUCACCAAGGCUUCGAUCUGUAGCUGGUCUGAGAGGACGGCCAGCCACACUGGCACUGACACACGGGCCAGACUCCUACGGGAGGCAGCAGUGGGGAAUUUUGGGCAAUGGGCGAAAAGCCUGACCCAGCAACGCCGCGUGAAGGAGGAAAUCCUUCGGGAUGUAAACUUCAUAAAGUAAGGGAAGAAAGCUGCGGAUCGAAUAAGUCCGCAGUCCGACGGUACCUUACGUAGCC